rnacentral:rRNA from 1 species
CAGGAUGAACGCUGGCGGCGUGCCUAAUACAUGCAAGUCGAACGAGGUAGCAAUACCGAGUGGCGAACGGGUGAGUAACACGUAGGUAACCUGCCCUUAAGCUUGGGAUACCCAGAGGAAACUUGGCUAAUACCGGAUAACAACAGAGAAGGCAUCUUCUUUGCUUGAAAGGCCCCUUCAAGGGUCACUUAAGGAUGGACCUGCGGCGCAUUAGCUAGUUGGUGAGAUAACAGCCCACCAAGGCGAGGAUGCGUAGCCGAACUGAGAGGUUGAUCGGCCACAUUGGAACUGAGACACGGUCCAAACUCCUACGGGAGGCAGCAGUAAGGAGUUUUCGGCAAUGGGGGAAACCCUGACCGAGCAACGCCGCGUGAGCGAUGACGGCCCUAUUGGGUUGUAAAGCUCUGUUGUAAGCCAUGAAUGAUAGCUUUAGGAAAUGAAAGCUAUUUGACGACAGCUUACCAGAAAGCCACGGCUAACUACGUGCCAGCCGCUGC